rnacentral:tRNA from 2 species
GAGAUGGUAACUCAGUUGGUUAGAGUGUUGGUUUGUCACGCCAAAAGUCGCGGGUUCAAAUCCCGUCCGUCUCG